UAACUCCCUCCCCGGUAAAACCCAAACCCCGCCGGCCACCGCCUCAGCCUUAUAAAAUCCAAAAGACUUAUUUGCGAAGUAAUCAGCUCAAGAUUCUUGAUUUUCUGGACACCCUUUUACUAAUCACCUCCAAUGACAGAAACCAGAACCUGCGAGUUUGGUCAUAUAAAGAAGACCACCAUGAGUAGUGAAGAUGGGGUUUCUGGGUUGCCCUGUUUUGGGGUUGAAGAUGAUAAAGGUGGAAUCUUGGAAGAUCGGUUUGCAGAAAAAGGGAAGAAGAAAAGGAGAAUUUGUGAAAUGGGUUGGUUGAGUGAUCCAUUAGUUGUUCUUGGGACAGAUGUUAUGUUGAUGAUUUUGAGCUGUCUAGACGCACGCAGCGUGGCACUGUGUCUCCUUGUAUCUCGUGGAUGGAGGGCUGUUGCUUCUUCUGAUAAGAUUUGGAGCUCCAAGCUGCAGGUCCUCUCUGAACAUUUCUAGUUGGUUUGUUGGGA
rnacentral:misc_RNA from 1 species